ensembl:ncRNA lncRNA:CR44688 long non-coding RNA:CR44688
UUCGCUGGCAGCUGGGGCUUGUGCACAUAAUAGGCGAUCGACAUCAAUUAAGAAAAUAAUCCGCGCAUUAUGCGAAUGCGAAGAGCGAAAGCGGCUAGUAUAUAAAUAUUGUUUGACAUCAACCGCGACAGGAAGGCCAAAAACGCCUGUCGGGUGGGCGGAGUGGUUGGCCAACUGGCGAUUUUGUGAAUUAAGCGGACGUAUUCAGCAUACGCUAAGCGGGCGAAAAAAGGUCGUAAUGAUGACACUCCGGAUAAGGGUGGAACCGACCACGAUGACAGGUGCUGCCCGCAAGGACAUGGAAUUUAUGGACUCGAGUGCUCGAAACUCGCGCACCCGCACACUGGAAAUAAUAGGAGGAUAAUGAUAAUCCGAGCGGACUGAUUGCAAGGCGUACAUAUAUUUUCAAUUAACAUUUUCCAGAUGCUCAAACUAAUUGCAUUUUACGUGUGUCAUCGGAAAAGAGCCCAUCCACUAAAUAAACGCACCAUGU